UACAGAGGGUGCAAGCGUUGUUCGGAAUUAUUGGGCGUAAAGCGCGUGUAGGCGGCUUUGCAAGUCGGGUGUGAAAGCCCUCAGCUCAACUGAGGAAGUGCGCCCGAAACUGCAGAGCUUGAGUGCCGGAGAGGGUGGCGGAAUUCCCCAAGUAGAGGUGAAAUUCGUAGAUAUGGGGAGGAACACCGGUGGCGAAGGCGGCCACCUGGACCGGCAUUGACGCUGAGGCGCGAAAGCCAGGGGAGCAAACGGG
rnacentral:rRNA from 1 species